ensembl:lncRNA
CAGGCCUUAAUUCUCCUCUGUUCUUCAAUAAGACACUGCUAUAGUCAUUGUGUAGAGGCCAGUCCCAUGUUCCUAUGCCUCUGGCCACCAACCAACAACAUUGUGUCCUAUCCUGAGGCUACAUUCUGUCAAGACCAGUACAGCACUGAGUAAUCUGGGCAUGGCUCAGGUGGAUCUUGGCUCUCAAAUCUCUCACAGGCUUCAAUCAAGGUGUCAGCUAGGACUGCAAGCAUCUUGACCCGUGGCUGGAAGGAAUUCUAAACUCAUUCACCUGGUUGUUGGAAGGAUUCAGCUCAUGCGCUAGUGCAAUACGGGCAUUAAAUCCUUACUGGCUGUUGGUCAGAGACUGCAUUUGAUCCUUGUCAGGUGGUUUCCUUACCACUUAGAUCAUAACUCUGCAAAAGAGAAUUUGAAAAGAGGGAUUGAACUCAGGACCUCGGGAGGCAGGUGUGAUGGCACUAAGCGAAAUCCCCAGCCUGCUUACCAUUUUCUUGAUUGGAAAAGAAUACCAAAAUAAAUCAUUCUCUAUAACAAUUGAAAAUUUUAAUAUGGAGCAUUUCAUAAAUGAUACAAGAAAUUGAAAAUACAAGUUAAUAA